rnacentral:rRNA from 1 species
GGACUACCGGGGUUUCUAAUCCCGUUCGCUCCCCAUGCUGUCGUGUCUGAGCGUCAGUUGCGAGCCAGGGCGCCGCCUUCGCCUCUGGGGUUCCUCCGGAUCUCUACGCAUUUCACCACUACACCCGGAAUUCCACGCCCCUCUCUCGCACUCUAGAUGACCAGUCUGGCAUAACCCCGCCCGGUUGAGCCGGACGAUUUCAUACACCACUUGGUCUUCCGCCUGCACACGCUUUACACCCAGUAAAUCCGGAUAACGCUCGCCACCUACGUUUUACCGCGGCUGCUGGCAC